rnacentral:lncRNA from 1 species
CUUGAUUCAAACCAGAGGCCACACUUGUGACACAGUGUGCAGAGCUCUGCUGGCGGAGCAAGGAGGAACAAGCUCGUCUCCGGGGGGAAGUCGCAAGUCACAUUCGGCGACACGGAGACACCAAGUUUCAUUAGAUCUACUUUUGUACCUGAACCAAGCUGGUGAGAUGUUGUGGCUCCAAGUGCCUAUGGAAGCUUCUUCAGGACGAAAAGAAAAACGCCUUUUGCUCAAAUCUUGCCAGGAAAGGAAAUGGUUAAAUUGGAUAAGGAUCCCCAUCAGGAUUCCUAAGAGCUUCCAGAGUUUACCAUCUAGGCUUGGAUUUUACUAAACUCUUGCUGCAACUCUGAGUUCUAUUGUUAAAUAUAAUAACUUG